ACACAACUGAGUAUAUAUACGGAAACUCAACAGUUUUUGCGCAUUGCAUUGCGAUCUUGUGGAAAUUGGUUUUUAAAAUGGGUAAACUGUAUUAUUGUCGAGUUUUGGUAAUUGUCAUUUUCGCGAUUUUAUUUGCCUACAGUACAGUUUUGGGCAAACCGGGCGACCGGUAGAAAGAAUGAUGCGAACAGCCAUACAUUUCUGGAAACAUAACUGCAACAUUAAUAAAAUUAUGAAACGUAUCUACCAACAAUGCAGUAUUAUCACCUCUUCAACUUAAUCAAUUUAUACAUCUUUUACAUGUUUACUUGUAGUGUAUGAUUGAUUGAUUCCAAUAGAGUAGGUGGGUAUAUUGUUCCCAAAAUUAAAAACACAAUAAAUUGCGUUCAUAUUUA